rnacentral:rRNA from 1 species
GUGUCAGCAGCCGCGGUAAUACGGGGGGAGCAAGCGUUGUUCGGAUUCAUUGGGCGUAAAGGGCGCGUAGGUGGCUUGGUUAGUCCGACGUGAAAUGUACCGGUUCAACCGGGGCACUGUGGCGGAAACUGCCGAGCUUGAGGCCGAGGGAGGAAGGUGGAAUUCCUGGUGUAGCGGUGAAAUGCGUAGAUAUCAGGAGGAACACCCGUGGCGAAGGCGACCUUCUAUCUCGGAUCUGACACUGAGGCGCGAAAGCCAGGGGAGCAAACGGGAUUAGAAACCCCAGUAGUCC